AAAAACUGUGAGAUAACUGCCUUCUAAGUAGUUAUUGGUUGGUUAGAUUCCGCCUUUUUUUU
rnacentral:tRNA from 1 species